AAUUCUGAUUACCAGCCCGGCACCCCUAAAUAUAGGCCAGCUUAGGUUUGGAAACUAAAUGACCUCAGCAGCAUUUUCAGUGUUCAUUUGGAAACCUUUCAAGCAGAAGCCCUGGGAUCUUGCAGAGUACAGAUCCUAGAACAGGAGGAGAAGGAUAAGAAUAUGCUUAUCUUCUGAUACAGCUUGUGGGUGCCAGAGCAGACAUGUGGAGGUCAGAGGACAAUUCGCAAGGACAGUUCUCUCCUUCCUCCCUGUGGGUUCCAGGGAUUGAAUCCAGGUCAUCACUUUCUGCCUUUCAAUCGCUCCAGACAGCCUCGCUGGUUCAGGUCACCAAGGUGGACUGAGAAACAGGGAUCUUGAGCAGGCCCUUUGCCCGACACGUCGGUGUGGCAAGGCUGGAAGGUCUUCCUGCCUCCAGUUGCACAAAGGAAUGGGUUACAGUGGAGAUGGAGAGUUCUGGAGAUUCACACUGAGAUAUGGAAAGGACCUGAAGGAGGGCCCGGGAACAUGAGGACAAACUUCUAAAGCAGCCUAUAAUGAAGAAUUGCAGAGCAGUGCCAUCGAAAUGAAGGACUCAGCCCCAGUGUAGGAUAAGAUUGGGACACAGAAAAUUGCAGCAGAUUGCCUAAGGCAAACCGCAACCAGCCAGCAGCUGGAUGGAACAGAGAAGAUGCCCGUUAUGUGGGGAAUGUGAGAAGGAUGUUUUCGGGUCUGUGCGCAGCUGUGACAAGCCAGGUAGAAACGGAGUUGGCCCCCUUUCCUGUGUGGGGACUGGAUGUCCCCAAAUUAUCUACAAGAUUUCGACUUGCCAUUGCCCGCUUAGGGAAAUCAUCCAGAGAGAAUUUGUGAGGGGUAAUUGGACAAUGUGCUCUUCACUGACUGAGGCUUCCCUGGGGUAAGGAGUGGGUACCGGGACAAAGCCAGCAAACUGGGAGAAAUCUAAGUUUAGAAGUGCUUAGAAAUCCGAACUGUAAGUUCAUACAUGUAAGUCACAGAAUAGUGGCACCCCAAAAUGGUGAAAACUGUCUUUCCCUUUUCUCUCCGUUCUAACUAUAGGCCGUCAUUUCACCCGACAGAUAAAAGCCAGAGGGCUUUUGGGGUAAGAAGAGCAUGCUCAGUGGAAUGAGACCUGCUGUGAACCAGCGGAUCCUCAGAACUCUUAUUUCUAUAGCAGCUGAUACUGACAUACAUGACUCUGUACAUAGCAGGGAUUCCAGAGAGUUCUCAGUAUCUGGUUCAAACUCGUUUUUGCAUCUAGAGGCAAAAGGAGGCAUCAAUUCCAGAGGGUCUUCUUGACAUUCCAGAAGCCCAUCUACGUUAGACAGAAAAUUCAAAAAAGAAAUCAACCCUUUCUGCUAACCCCCAAGACACUGUAAAUACUGUGGUGGAGGCCUGCAGCCACUCUGGAGAGCGAAAGUUCUGUACUCAGCCACAUCUGGAGUUAGGCAACGCUUUGCCCUUUUUCUGUCAAUGUGACUUCGGAAAAUUUCCUUAUACUCUUUCAUGCUUGAUUUUUUCCCCUUGUGCAGAGUAGAAAGAAUAGUGGAAGGUACCAUUUAGGGUUGUUAUAGGAGUGAGAGGAUGUGUGGGAAUGGCUUAGUGGGUGAUACAUAUGUUAAAAUAGUAUGCGAUUUCCUUCCUUCCAUCCUCUCUUUCUUCCUUCCUGCCUUCCUUCCAUCCUCUCUUUCUUCCUUCCUUCCUGCCUU